AACAGGACAAGAAGCUCACAGCUCAGAGAAGGUUUUCUUGCUUCAGCCUAAAUCAGUGAAAAAAGAAGUCUUAUCCGCAAUGAAGAUCUACUUCUUGUCUCUUCUGUUGGUGGCGGUAGCCUGCUAUUUCCACGCCGAGGCAUUGCCAUCUCCCGAACCAGCAGACGUAGCCAAAGUGCCCUCGUCCGC